GCUCGAGAUGUUCCCUCUUUUUCCUUUCCCCCGCCCUUCCCCCUCUCCCUCCCUCGCCCGUUGGAAUCCGUGGUCGGAGAGCCAUUUACGUUCAGUUACUUUAUUCUCGGGAACGAGGGGACCCCCGUUUUGGGGCUAGCUGGAUCACAAAAAGAGAUAAAGAUUAAGUAACUUGCCUAAAAUUACAUGCCCAUUAAGUACAUGAGGCUGGAUUUGAACUUCCUUCUUCCUGAUUCCAGAUCCAGGACUCAAGUGGUACUUUCUGUCAUGAUUUCAUUCAAGAUUUGCCACAAGAAAAGAAUAUUUUUCAGGACAAUGAAUUAGCAUGAAGAAAAAUUCCUCAGAAAAAUUCUUAAAACAAGGCUUGAAGUUGGUUUCAGAAGAAGCAUAAGGAGAUAAUAAGGAAAGAGAAAUGGGACUUAAUGAAAUUUAUCUGCUUAUAUUCCUCCAUGGGAGGAUGAUACUUGUAAUUUAUAAGAACUUUUGCAUUAUUAUGGCCGUUAGAAGGAGUAUAUAUAAACAGAGGAGCCCAGCUGGUACUAGAAAAACACACAAUUGGAAGCGAUGGGAAGUUUUCUUGAAUAAUGGAAAGGACUGAAAAAAAGAGAAUUUAAAAUGCCAAUUUGAGGACUGUCUUCUAUGAGAUUUCAGGUUUGUGAAUUCUUUUGCAUCGGACCUGUGUGACCAGAGGGGAUUUCCCACCCCAAUUCUCAACCACUAUCCUCAUCUUUUACACCUCAUCAAUAGGACUCAUUCCUCUUUGAGAUUGGGUUUCCAGCUAAGGAAGAUUGCAUUUGGCAAAUUAGGAUGAAAGUAAUCAAUAUCAGCUAAGAAACAAAUGACAACACCAGAAAGCUUGAUUAUUCACCAAUUUGGCUAAUCUACUGGGAGAAAUCUUGACUACAUUGGUAGAAGACUAAGUGAAAGCAUCCUAGGUAGAACUAUCCUUGUCACUUGUCAGCACAUUUUAAUGAAAUGCCAGUCUUUUCUACCAAAUCCUGAAGAAAAACCUCUGGGUACCGAUUGAUGAAAUGAUUUUCCUCCCAAAUGGAGCCUAAACUUAAAAUAAAGCACCUCCCAUUUUGCAAAGCACAGCAGUCUGCAAGUUCAAGAGAGGGCAGAAAAGUGAUUCUCAGCCUACUCCACUUUGGAUAUGCUUCUUUGCUUGGUUUCAACUCCACAGAACAAGAUGACUGUGUAUUAAGUAAUCCCUGCUGGCUCCCCAUCCCUGAUUUCCCGCUUCCUUUUUUGGGUUGUCUCCACCCUUAGAGUUGUAAGUCUUUGAGGGCAGGGGUUGUCUUUCUUUUUAUUAAUUGUAUUACCAGCACAUAG